AAAAAUCAAAAUGCCCAUUUUUUGGGCUUUUCGACUCCCCGACUCAAAAGUCCCUGAUUUUCAUCGAAAUCGGCACCUCUUUCGCAAAAAAGUUUGUUUUGCAGGUACAGAUGUGGUAGCACACAUGGAGGUGCUGCGCGUAAGAGACGGCGACGGCAGCGACAGUUAGGUUGCUGCUAGGGUUUGCUGUUUUUUCUUUUGUUUUGGGCUAGGUUUAGUGAUUUGAGUUUAGUUUGGUUGUUUUUUAGGGUUUGGGUUUGUAAUGUAAAUAGACUUUUAAUUAUUGGACUUUAUUUAUUUAGUUUAUUUUUGUGUUUGUUUUGGUUUUGGGCUCAAGCCAAAAUUGGCCUAUUACAGCUGCCUUUUUUUGCACGUUGUCGUGUAACGAAAAUGGAGCAAAGACUUAAAAAUGACCAAUUUUGCCUGGUCUUGCUGAGUCUUAACCUCUCUUAAUGCUUCUCUUCUUCAAGUAGCCCAAUUCUAGCCCAUUGCGUCUUGUUGUUUCGAUUCACUCUACUGCAACCUCAGAUAUGACUUGUAGCUUCAAUCUACUCUACCACGACUUCAAAGGGAACGAGAUUUGCGGUUUUAAUUCGCUCCACUGCAACUUCAGGAAGUUAGGAUUGGUGGCUUCAAUCUGCUUCACUGCAACUUCAAGAAGAUAAAAUCUGCCAUAAUUUGUGGCUUUAAUCUAUUCCACUGCAACGCUAGAGAAAUAAGAUUCGCUGCCUUCAGCUUUAAUUUAUUCCAGUGCAACGCUAAGGAAAUAAGAUUUGCUGCCUUCAACUUUAAUCUACUGCAACGCUAGGGAGAUAAGAUUCGUUGCCUUCAGCUUUAAUCUGUUCCACUGCCAUGUUAGGGGUAUAGGGUUUGUGGUUUCACCGAUCUGUUCUCUGGGGAACAUGACCUGUAGAAUCCCUUUCAUGGGCCUAUUUCUGCCUAGUGAUUAGGAUGUUCUGACCGGAAUGAAUCAAAAUCUCCUAACUAAAUGUGCAUGCAUGAAUGCAAAAUGUCAUGAAAAUUAUCCCUUAAUGUUUAAGUUGUUAUUGCUCAUUA